UAUGGCCACAUCAUGUUGAAACACCGGUUCCCAUAUGAUCACCGAAGUUAAGCAACGUCGACCCUGGUCAGUACCUAGAUGGGUAACCGUUUGGGAAUACUAAG